rnacentral:rRNA from 1 species
UACAGAGGGUGCAAGCGUUACUCGGAAUUACUGGGCGUAAAGCGUGCGUAGGUGGUUGUUUAAGUCUGUUGUGAAAGCCCUGGGCUCAACCUGGGAACUGCAGUGGAAACUGGACAACUAGAGUGUGGUAGAGGGUAGCGGAAUUCCCGGUGUAGCAGUGAAAUGCGUAGAGAUCGGGAGGAACAUCCAUGGCGAAGGCAGCUACCUGGACCAACACUGACACUGAGGCACGAAAGCGUGGGGAGCAAACAGG